rnacentral:lncRNA from 1 species
CAGCAUAUGGAGAUUCCCAGGCUAGGGGCCAAAUCGAAGCUGUACCCACUGGCCUAUGCCACAGCCACAGCAAUGCCAGAUCUGAGCCAUGUCUGUGACCUAUACCACAGCUCACGGCAACGCCGGAUCCUUUUCGAGGCCAUGGAUCAAACCCGUGUCCUCAUGGAUACCAGUCAGCUUCACUUAAGGAGCUCCCCCUAAACGCUAACCCAAUUCCUUUCUUCCAGGCACCUCUUUCCUGGACACAAGGCCCAACCUCUGCAAACCCAUUACAAAGGGAUGGGGGUACAACUGAGACACACCCUUGACUUCUCUGACUCCCCUUAGCCAUCUGCCCAUCUGGGUAUGGGGUCUGCUCACACAGUGGGGGGGUCCAUCCACGCUGUCAGGUGGGCAGGGAGCGCCCCACAGCCAGCUCUGACAGUGCAUUUCCGUCCACCUUUCAACUCCUUUGAACAUCCCCGCUGUCUCCCCUGGAGCUCUGGAAGGCAAGUGCAAGAGAAUGUGGUUUCAUCAUCCACACCCGGCCUGUCUGGCUGGCCCCUUUACCUGGAGGUUUCAAGAUUCCUGCACGAAAUCCUCAAUAAGCAGCUUUCCAUGGGGAAAGAUGAGCUAAGCAAAUACUUGAUGCCUACCAGCCACAGCCCUAGGAGCAGCAGACGUGAGCUCACCCACCUAUCCAAUGCCACUGCCCAUUCAUGUCUGCAGCCCGGGGGGCUGUAACCGUAGCUGCAGGGCACAGAACAGAUACUUGUGGGCAGCAUAGGAAGUGGCAGCCAGAGGCUGGCGAUAUGCUGGGCAUCUGCUCUGUGUAGGGAGAGAAGCAUCCCGGAACAAAGGAUUUUCAAACUGGGAAGAAGAGGGUGGAUGCCCCAUUUCAGGCCUCCUUGCAGAAGCUGGCCCCUAAGUACACCUUCCUCCCCUCAGUGACUUCAGCAAAGGGUCUCCGGCCCCUGCACCCCUCUUUUUGGAGGCCUAUUGUGCAGGUGUGCUCACUGCUCCAGGAGCCCUCUCUUACUGCUGCUGCCACAUUCUGUCCUGUACUUGUCCUGAAUGCCACUGCCCUAGGAUCCAGUGACAGUGGUUUUUUUUGUUCAUUUUUCUUUUUUUAGGGCCACACUUGCGGCAUAUGGAAGUUCCUGGGCUAGGGGUGGAAUGGUAGCUGCAGCUGCCAGCAUACACUGCAGCCACAGCAACGCCAGAUCCGAGCCGCAUCUUUGACCUAUGCUGUAACUUGCAGUAACACCGGAUCCUUAACCUGCUGAGCCAGGGAUCCAACCCGCAUCCUCAUCCUUAACCUGCUGAGAAAAAAUGGGAACUCGUCGUGACAGUGUUUUUGAUGUGUCAGUUGGGUUAGGCUACAGCCCCCAGUUAUUCAAUCAAACACCAAUCUAGGUGUUGGCUGUGAAAGAAGUUUGCCACUGUAAUUAAAAUACAUAAUGAGCUGACUUUAAAGAAAAUUAUCCAAGAAAAUCUGGCUGGGCCUGAUUCAAUUCAUUAAGAAGGCCUUAAAGGCAGGCGAGGGAGGGAGAGAGAGAUUCCCCUGAAGAGUUUGACCAAAUGCCCAUGAUCAUCCUUUCCUGACUUCCUGCCCUGUGAAUUUUGGAUUUGCUUAUUCAGCCCCUAAAUAAUAUACACCACUUCCUUGAAAUAAAUCUCUUAGUGCAUAUACAUAUACACAUACAUGUGUGUGUGUUUGUAUCUUUUAUUGGCCCUGGUUUGAUCAAACCCUGAAAUAGAUGAAUAAUGGCCUCCCCAGUGCCUGUGUCCUAAAU